UACGUAGGUGGCAAGCGUUGUCCGGAAUUACUGGGCGUAAAGCGCUCGUAGGCGGGCGCCUAAGUCGAUUGUGAAAGCCCUGGGCUUAACCUGGGAACUGCAGUCGAUACUGGGUGUCUAGAGUAUGGUAGAGGAUAGUGGAAUUCCCGGUGUAGCAGUGGAAUGCGUAGAUAUCGGGAGGAACACCAGUGGCGAAGGCGACUUUCUGGACCAAUACUGACGCUGAGGAGCGAAAGCGUGGGGAGCAAAC
rnacentral:rRNA from 1 species